GGUAGAGGUAAGGUUGUCUACAUCUCACCUUCCUCAUACCCUACCUUAGCUUUGCUAUUGGUAGGAUAUACUGAGUAUGAUGAUGAUGAUCUAUGUCGUUUCCAACUGAUUAAACAAGUUUGUGUGGAUUCUUAUACCUGAAACCUGGAGAUUGAUCAUCUUUCUUAUAUUUUUUUUUAUAACUAAUACAAGUUUUGGAGUAAAAUGCCCGGAUGCUCCCUCUAGUUUUGUAAAGUAACCCCAUUUAGUCCCCAACUUUUGGAAAUUACACUCAUGUUCCCUGUGGUUUAUCACUUUGUUACUCGGAUAGUCCCUGAGUCAAACGGAUGUUAGUUCCAAACGUUAAAUGGUGUCACGUGUUGUACUUGUGAGGGCAUUUUUGUCCAUUUAUGUCAAAACCCUCCCUGCACCUCUUUAAUACCCUUUCAGUUGGAUCCCCUCCCAAUUCACACCAACACAUCAGUAUCCCUCUCUCUCUCUCUCUCUCUCUCUCUCUCCCUCUCUCUCUGCUACAGGCGAUCAUCCUCAAAAUAAAAAACGAUCAAAACCCUAACCCUAAUCCAAGAUGGAAGACGAUCAUCCUCAAAACCCACGGUAUCACAAAACUUAGAGAAUAAGGAGUCCUACUGAGGCGUUUGUAGCACAUAAUGUGUAUUUUGGUUACGACAACUUGUUCACUUUAAAAGUCUAUCAUGGAGGUAUAUUCACUAAACUUCCAAGGAGAAAAUACGUGGAUUGCAAGGUUAGCUAUAUCGACUACUGCAAAAUAUAGGAGUUUUCUGUUCAUGAGAUUGAUUUCUGUUCAUGAAAUUUACUACCAUUUUCAAAUACAUGGGCAAGAUUUGGACGCUGAUUUGACACCAUUAGGAAAUGAUGGGGAUGUUCUAUGUUUAGCCAAAUAUGUUGCAGGAAACAAGGUUAUAAGGAAGUAUAUAGAACAUGGUUUUACUAGGAUUGCAGAUUACCUUACCCCUCCAAAAGCAACUUCAGUGGUUAUUGAAGAACUAGAAGAUGCAGGGCCCAUUAUUGUUAAUGCUAAUAUACUAGAAGGAAGUUGCAGGUAGCUAAAAGCUUGAGGGUUUGACAUAAAUGGACGAAAAUCCCCUCGCAUGUACAACAUGUGACACCAUUUAAUGUAUGGAACUAACGUCCGUUUGACUCGGGGACUAUCCGAGUAACAAAGUGAUAAACGACAGGGAACAAAAAUGUAAUUUUCAAAAGCUGGGGACUAAAGAUGUUACUUUACAAAAACCACAAGGAGCAUCCGGGUAUUUUACUCUAAGUUUUGUUUAGUUAUUUAAAAAAAAAAUCAAUCAAAUCCAAAUUCAUUUUUAAAUUAAUUUGGAUAUUUUUACUUAAUGAAACGUGUAAUACUAACCGCAUGCUCCUCGUGGAUUCGAUAGGUCAACAUUAGCAACCAAUGAAUUAGGUUUUUGCAUAAACCCAACGACAGGUCAACAUUAGCAACUAAUGAAUUACCAUAGGAUUAUUGGUAGAUUAUUCCCCAACUGAAAGGCGAGGAUUGAUGAGUCUUUCACCAAGAACUCUUUUCGUCGAUAAUAGCUAUUUUCUAGCUGAUGUAAGUUUUUGAUAAGAUCUUUAAUAGUAUCCUAGAAGACUCAUUCUUUUUCCGAGAAAAACGAUAACAUCGAGAUUUUGAUUCUCGAAGAAUGAGGGCAAGAUUAUCCCUAAACUUGAUGUGAGUUUUUCAUUUUGA